rnacentral:tRNA from 1 species
GCCGACGUAGUUCAGCUGGUAGAGCAAUUGAUUCGUAAUCAAUAGGUCGCGGGUUCAAGUCCCGCCGUCGGCC